AUUGAACGCUGGCGGCAUGCCUUACACAUGCAAGUCGAACGGUAACGGGCCUUCGGGUGCCGACGAGUGGCGAACGGGUGAGUAAUGUAUCGGAACGUACCUUUCAGUGGGGGAUAACGUAGCGAAAGUUACGCUAAUACCGCAUAUUCUGUGAGCAGGAAAGCAGGGGAUCGCAAGACCUUGCGCUGAUUGAGCGGCCGGUAUCAGAUUAGCUAGUUGGUGAGGUAAAGGCUCACCAAGGCGACGAUCUGUAGCGGGUCUGAGAGGAUGAUCCGCCACACUGGAACUGAGACACGGUCCAGGCUCCUACGGGAGGCAGCAGUGGGGAAUUUUGGACAAUGGGGGCAACCCUGAUCCAGCCAUGCCGCGUGAGUGAAGAAGGCCUUCGGGUUGUAAAGCUCUUUCGGCCGGGAAGAAAUCGUAUCAGCUAAUACCUGGUGCGGAUGACGGUACCGGCAUAAGAAGCACCGGCUAACUACGUGCCAGCAGCCGCCGUAACAC
rnacentral:rRNA from 1 species